AGGAAUGGUGGUCCAAGAGGGGAAUGGCUGGGGGAGACAGAACGUGAAAGGGUGAGAAUUGUCACUGAUCCCACUCUCCAUCCAUCCACGAACAAUUUGCCUCACCCUCUCCCUCUCAACUUCCCCUAGAUCAGGAGAUGGUUCACGGCUGGAGUUCUCAUGGUCUCUAUGAUCAUUCUGUGGUCCAAUUGGAUCAUGAGACCAAGUACCAUACUCAUUCUCACUCUCACUAGCAUCCACCAAGCUACCUUGGUUAUCAGUUUCCCGGCUUUCCGACAUAUUAGCACUAGAAACAUUAGUAUUAGAAUCCAUGCUCCUCCGUUGUGUCAACCUUUCCCUCACCCUUUCUCGUGCACGAUUCAACACAUGCUCAUCCUCCAAUUCUCGCCACAUCUGCAAAAUAUUAGAAGCCCUCGUGUUUAUUCUCUCAGAAUCACCACCCUGACGCCUUGAGGUAGGAGAUUGUGAUUCCCUCAAGAACGAGGAAUCAAGCAUUGAAACAGUGUGUAAACCAGCAAGUGCCAUCAGCUCAGACUCACGGUUCCUCCUCUCAAUAGUAGUAAUCAUCUCCUGAGCCUGUCUUGCUGCCCACCUGCUCAAUAUCCUUGAGUGGCGCCUCCUGGCAGCAGAUGACUCUGCCAGGUCAUCACCUUCAAGGUCAGACCUCCUCCUCCUCCUUACAAGCUGAUCAGACUCUUCAUCCUCAUCCUCAGUAUUACGCACUGAACUACACGAAGCAUACGACAUACACUCAUCCAAGUGACCACACAUCAACUCCUCCAGUCCCCUCUCAAACUCCGAACGCACAUCAUCCCCCGUACUCUCCGGCUUCUGCUGCAUUUGCUGCUGAACAUCUUCCAUCUUCAAAUCCCACUUUAUCCCAACCUUAACACCCUUAACACAUUUCCCCACAAAAAAACUAUCCAAUUCCUAAAUGCAAAACAUCACACCAUUAUCUCCCACAAUUUCACCUCCAUUAACAAACAAAACUAGCCCUAAACUCAAUUCCAUAACAAAUCUCCUCAAAUUACACUCCUUUUUCAAUACAACCAAAUCACUGAUUAAAU
rnacentral:misc_RNA from 1 species